AUUGAACGCUGGCGGUAUGCCUUACACAUGCAAGUCGAACGGUAACAGGUCUUCGGAUGCUGACGAGUGGCGAACGGGUGAGUAAUACAUCGGAACGUGCCUAGUAGUGGGGGAUAACUAAUCGAAAGAGAGGCUAAUACCGCAUGAGAUCUACGGAUGGAAGGAGGGGAUCGCCAGAACUUGUGCUACUGGAGGGGCCGAUGGCAGAAUAGGUAGUUGGUGGGAGAAAAGCUGACCAAGCCGACGAUCUGUAGCUGGUCUGAGAGGACGAUCAGCCACACUGGGACUGAGACACAGCCCAGACUCCUACGGGAGGCAGCAGUGGGGAAUUUUGGACAAUGGGCGAAAGCCUGAUCCAGCAAUGCCGCGUGCAGGAUGAAGGCCUUCGGGUUGUAAACUGCUUUUGUACGGAACGAAAAGCCCCGGGUUAAUACCCUGGGGUCAUGACGGUACCGUAAGAAUAAGCACCGGCUAACUACGUGCCAGCCGCCGCCGUAA
rnacentral:rRNA from 1 species